ACAUUCAAACCGAACCAGAUUUCACUUCAAACGGACCCAGACCGAGGUUUGGAGGACCAGAGGUCAGAGGUCAACUAGCAUUCACACCAACCGGGCCAAACUUUAUAGCAAACAGACCGGAGUCGGGUUGAACCGGACCGAACUGGGCUGGUGGGAAUGUAAACAACGUCAGACCUGAAAUCAGUGGAGAACCUGCGGGCCGAGCUGAGCAGAACCAGAACUCUGGACCGGUACAGGAGUCCGGCUGCACUUAGGGAACAUCUGGAGCUGCAGCUCUUCUCUCCAACUGAAAACUUUUCAGUCUCUUUGUGGGCAAAGCAGAGAAGCGGAGAAAGCAGAAGGAGCGAAGCGUGACUCACAUGAUGACAGCGAGGAGCUGCAGAACCUCCGGUUCCGACCCGCUUCACAAACCGCACAGCGCCGACGGGUCAGGAACCCGGCUGAGUCAGAACCACGCAGCAACACGGAGCAACAAGCAGAGGAAGUAAAAUAUUUACAAAGCAGAGCGGAUCGUAAAACUACUGAACUACGGAAGCUGACCAGAGGAUUUAUGUCGCAAACUACGGAACAAUAAACUGCAAAUGGUGAAUCGUGCUGUAAACACAAAAUAUGCUGCAAGCAGUUAAAAUUAUGGAAAUUCACGUGGGACAUAUAUCAGCUCUUUUACCGCGCAUAUGGCUAAAAAUUCCUGCAAGAAAUGCUGGUUUAUGGCUUAGAACAGCAAAAAAUAAUUUCUACGAGUGUCGACGUUCAAAACAGCGUUGAGUGACCAAAAUAAACGUUGUAAUUUUUGCAGUUGUUUUGAGUAGAUUUUUGUCAUAUCUUACAUCCAUUAUUUUGGCAUAACUUUUUAGCCAGGUGGUAAAUGUUUGGCCCUCAUGGCUCUCCAUAUAAAACACACAGAAAGCUGCAAACGCAUGACUGAUGCAAACUCCAACUCACCAAAGACAAAAGCAAACAAAAGCAAAGAGCAAACAAAAGCGUUGCCAUCACCAUAAGAUGAAAUGUUGCAAAAACCGGAAGUUUAAAACGCUGCAACUGGAUCCAGAAACAGAGGAAGUCCUCCAGACCACCAGGGGGCGCCCAGACCCCCACUGAAGACUUGGGCGUCCAGGAGAAAGGAGUUAGGCUUCAUGUUUUACUGAAGGACAUUUUUCAGCUCUGAUGUGUUUUUUACCUUGGUAGAAAAUAAAAUCCUCACCUGCUGGCCUCUGGUUCAACAAAAACCCAGUU